UUCACUUACAUUUGAAUCAGCUAAUAAACGAGUCAAGAAAUGGCCGCAAAGUUAGCAGAGUGCACAAAUCAUCACACUUACCUUGCUUACUGAAUGUUCAAGAGCAACACCAUCCAAGAAACAGCUUAAUCUUGAAAUACUUGCCUGCCUCCAAAUAAAAAAAAAGGGAUGUCUAAGUGGCACGAAAUUAGCAAAAUUAGCAACUAACGAGAGUAUGGGUGUUUAAAGUAUAGCAUGCAACUUUUACUUAUAAACAGAUUGAGAUCAAAGUAAAUGAAAAGUGUAAUACGUAAUGGAACAGUGAGCAGGAAUAUGCUUGUUAGCUGGACUCUUCAAGGGAGGAAAAGGGCAAUGUCAGCCCAUCCCCAGUUUGAUUGAUCUGACGACAAUAUGUUGAGUACCUGAAAUUGGGAAAUGUUGGAACGAAAUAAAUAUUCCAUUGAAAUAAGAGCAAUAUAUUUGGUAGUGGUCCUGCAUUCUCAUGUGCUUAAUCACAAGUCAUCUUUCCUUGGUUUCUAGGCAACUCAACAGUUCAUCAUCAUUAAUUGAAACAUUAAGGCUAGCAUGUGCCUACCCUUAUACGGACACAAAAAAAAACAAAUAACAAAUGAAGAAAUAAAACAACAUACCUGCAAAUUGCAAGGUGA
rnacentral:lncRNA from 1 species